rnacentral:rRNA from 1 species
UCCCAGACUCCUACGGGAGGCAGCAGUGGGGAAUAUUGCACAAAGGGGGAACCCUGAUGCAGCGACGCCGCGUGAGUGAAGAAGUAAUUCGUUACGUAAAGCUCUAUCAGCAGGGAAGAAAAUGACGGUACCUGAGUAAGAAGCCCCGGCUAACUACGUGCCAGCAGCCGCGGUAAUACGUAGGGGGCAAGCGUUAUCCGGAUUUACUGGGUGUAAAGGGAGCGUAGACGGUGCGCCAAGUCUGGAGUGAAAGGCGGGGGCCCAACCCCCGGACUGCUCUGGAAACUGUGUAACUUGAGUGCAGGAGAGGUAAGCGGAAUUCCUAGUGGAGCGGUGAAAUGCGUAGAUAUUAGGAGGAACACCAGUGGCGAAGGCGGCUUACUGGACUGUAACUGACGUUGAGGCUCGAAAGCGUGGGGAGCAAACAGGAUUAGAUACCCCCGUAC